rfam:Dipodomys ordii contig_59958, whole genome shotgun sequence.
GGUGGCUCAGUGGUAGAGUGCUUGCCUCACAUGCAUAAAGCCCUGGGUUCAAUUCCUCAGCACCA